rnacentral:rRNA from 1 species
ACGGGCGAUAUGUACACAUUCAAUAUAAUAAUCAUUUAAGCAUAAUAAACAUUUAAUUACUUUCAAAACCAUUUUUUUUUUUUAUUUCAAAAUAAAUACCAGUUUUUGUUAAAUUGUAAUCCACCUUAUCCUAAUAAGGCUGCACCUGGAUCUAUUUUUUUUAAUUUUUUUUUAAUUUGAAUAACCUUUUCAAAAAGGUAUUUAUACAACGGUAUACAUGCUUUUAGUAGGUAAGAUAUAUCGUGGGGUAUCGUUUAUUAGGCAGAUUCCUCUGAGAAUAUAGGAUGCCGCCAAGUUCUUUAGGUUUCAAGAUAGUAGCUAUUAGUACCU